UACGUAGGGUCCAAGCGUUAAUCGGAAUUACUGGGCGUAAAGCGUGCGCAGGUGGCUUGUUAAGACCGAUGUGAAAUCCCCGGGCUCAACCCGGGAACUGCAUUGGUGACUGGCUCGCUAGAGUACGGCAGAGGGGGGUGGAAUUCCACGUGUAGCAGUGAAAUGCGUAGAGAUGUGGAGGAACACCGAUGGCGAAGGCAACCCCCUGGGCUGAUACUGACACUCAUGCACGAAAGCGUGGGGAG
rnacentral:rRNA from 1 species